rnacentral:rRNA from 1 species
AGAGCACUCCUACGGGAGGCAGCAUGGGGAAUAUUGCACAAUGGGCGCAAGCCUGAUGCAGCCAUGCCGCGUGUAUGAAGAAGGCCUUCGGGUUGUAAAGUACUUUCAGCAGUGAGGAAGGUGGAUAUGUUAAUAGCAUAUUCAUUUGACGUUAGCUGCAGAAGAAGCACCGGCUAACUCCCGUGCCAGCAGCCGCGGUAAUACGGAGGGUGCGAGCGUUAAUCGGAAUUACUGGGCGUAAAGCGCAUGCAGGUGGUUUGUUAAGUCAGAUGUGAAAGCCCGGGGCUCAACCUCGGAAUUGCAUUUGAAACUGGCAAACUAGAGUACUGUAGAGGGGGUAGAAUUUCAGGUGUAGCGGUGAAAUGCGUAGAGAUCUGAAGGAAUACCGGUGGCGAAGGCGGCCCCCUGGACAGAUACUGACACUCAGAUGCGAAAGCGUGGGGAGCAAACAGGAUUAGAUACCCUGGUAG